AAUAGAUACCCUGGUAGUCCACGCCGUAAACGAUGUCGACUUGGAGGUUGUUCCCUUGAGGAGUGGCUUCCGGAGCUAACGCGUUAAGUCGACCGCCUGGGGAGUACGGCCGCAAGGUUAAAACUCAAAUGAAUUGACGGGGGCCCGCACAAGCGGUGGAGCAUGUGGUUUAAUUCGAUGCAACGCGAAGAACCUUACCUACUCUUGACAUCCAGAGAACUUUCCAGAGAUGGAUUGGUGCCUUCGGGAACUCUGAGACAGGUGCUGCAUGGCUGUCGUCAGCUCGUGUUGUGAAAUGUUGGGUUAAGUCCCGCAACGAGCGCAACCCUUAUCCUUUGUUGCCAGCGGUUCGGCCGGGAACUCAAAGGAGACUGCCAGUGAUAAACUGGAGGAAGGUGGGGAUGACGUCAAGUCAUCAUGGCCCUUACGAGUAGGGCUACACACGUGCUACAAUGGCGUAUACAAAGAGAAGCGACCUCGCGAGAGCAAGCGGACCUCAUAAAGUCGUCGUAGUCCGGAUUGGAGU
rnacentral:rRNA from 1 species